UAUCAUUUUUCAAACUUUAUUUUUGUGUAAUAAUUAGGCAUAUUGAUACAUAAUCAUGUUCAUGUUUUGUGCUGUCUUGCUUUGCAGAUGACAGAAUAUUGCUGAAGGAUCCUGCAUGGAAGCUGGCUGAUUACACGGAGUGAUUCCUCUGGUGUGGUGUACCUCAGAGAGAUAAACACUGUUGCAAGAGCUGAGAAGAUAUCCUUAUUACUGGAUGGUUGCUCUCUGGUCGUACUUGAGCCCCCUGGACCAUGUCUGCAAAUGCUUCUGAACAUUGACAGAAUUUCUAAAGGAUCGCUGAGGACUCCCCCUCCAUGCGUGACAUCUUUGAGAAAUUUCCACGCUUUCUGGAGAUGCCAAGUUUGGUACGUCUGCCAGACAUUUUUUUAACCUUUAUUUAGAAAGAACAAGUCACGAUAUAGUUGUGUGCAUUGUUGAUUUUGGCUAUACUUGGUGUUAAUUAAGCUUCCUGAUACUGCAUGAUUUAUACCGUUCACUCAGUAGAGUAAAGCUUUCUAUAUAACCUGUUAAAACAGGGCGUUAUACAUUUUGUGGUUACCAGAAUGGCAAGUGCAUUACUAAAGGCCCUAUGUUAUGUCAUAGUAGAGUAGUACUGGCAAUUAACCUUUCAAUGACUAUUACAGCAUGUUUCAGAUGGUAUGGCGUAGAGCUGGGCGGUUUACGGUUAAAAAACCGUGAUCUCGGUUUCACCUACACAAGGUUCUCUUUUUGAUGAGAGACGGUUUUGUUGUUGUUGUUCAUACUAGGCUAUGUGCGUGAACUUCAUACUUCAUGUCACACUUCAUUUCAACUCCAAGUCCACUGUUGUUUUUCUACUAGGAAAUGUCAACACAAUUUAAGAUGUUGAUUGAAGCAAUACAAAUAAUUGGUUAAUCGCGCUAAAGAAGCUGGUGAGAGUGAAGCAUAGCCUAAUGAAGAACCCACAUGGCAUGGAUGAAUCAUGAUGAACAUUUAAAUCAACUUAGCUUACAUUUGAUCUCACAAAGUUAAAUAAAAGGCUAUUCUAAUAGGCUACAACAGUUCUCAGAUCCUUAACUGUAUUUCAUUACCAUCCCAACUGCGUGUGCAGGACUGCUGUUAAGGCUGCGUAUGAGUUUUGCCAUUGAGGCUAAUUUAGCUUAGCUUGCAAAAUGCAAUGGGCA